rnacentral:lncRNA from 1 species
GAAAGAACUGAUAAGUCUAUUUUCGAAUUAGUUAUUUGAUGAUAUAAACAAUCUAAUUUAACUUGACGAAUGUGACUUGAAACAAGAACUGAAUUAAUUAAUACUUACAUGAAUCAACUCUAUUGGAGGCUAAGCGUUUUGAGCUUAGUAGGGUGGUGGUGGAGAUGCAUAAUUGUAAACUGGUGGUGGAGGUGACUUCACAGGUGGGGGAGGAGAGUGGUAGUAGUAUGGAGGUGGUGGGGAUGGUGAUGGAGGUGGUGGGGAUUUGUAGUAGUACGGUGGUGGAGGCGAGUAGACUGGUGGGGGAGGAGAGUGGUAAUAGUACGGAGGUUGAGGAGAUGGUGACGGAGGUGGUGGGGACUUGUAAUAGUAUGGUGGUGGAGGUGAGUGGACAGGUGGGGGAGGAGAGUGGUAAUAAUAUGGCGGUGGAGGAGAUGGCGACGGAGGUGGUGGGGAUUUGUAGUAGUAGGGCGGGGGAGGAGAGUGGACUGGUGGUGGUGGGGAUUUGUAGUAGUAUGGAGGUGGAGGUGGAGGUGAGUAGACUGGUGGUGGUGGGGAUUUGUAGUAGUAUGGAGGUGGAGGUGAGUGGACUGGUGGUGGCGGGGAUUUGUAGUAGUAGGGUGGAGGAGGAGAGUGGACUGGAGGUGGCGGGGAUUUGUAGUAGUAUGGUGGUGGAGGCGAGUAGACUGGAGGGGGUGGUGACUUGUAGUAGUAAGGUGGCGGAGGUGAGUAAACGGGAGGAGGGGGUGACUUGUAGUAGUAAGGUGGUGGAGGUGAGUAGACUGGUGGUGGAGGUGAUUUGUAAUAGUAUGGGGCAGGUAUGUGGACUGGCGGUGGUGGUGACUUGUAAUAGUAGGGAGGUGGAGGGGAUGGUGAAGGUGGUGGUGGAGACUUGUAGUAGUAUGGCGGUGGGGGUGAAUAGACUGGUGGUGGAGGUGAUUUAUAAUAGUAUGGAGGUGGAGGAGAUGGCGAUGGAGGUGGCGGAGAUUUAUAGUAGUAAGGUGGUGGAGGAGAGUGGACUGGUGGUGGAGGUGAUUUGUAAUAGUAUGGCGGUGGAGGAGAGUAGACUGGUGGUGGAGGUGAUUUAUAGUAGUAUGGCGGUGGUGGUGAGUGGACAGGUGGUGGAGGUGACUUGUAGUAAUACGGUGGAGGAGAAGAAUAGACCGGUGGUGGUGGAGAUUUAUAAUAGUAAGGUGGUGUCGGAUACUUUAUUGGAGGUGGAGGGGAUUUGUAAUAAUAGGGUGGUGGUGGUGAGGGUGAAGGAGGUGGUGGAGAUUUAUAGUAAUAUGGUGGUGGAGGUGAGUGGACUGGAGGUGGUGGAGAUUUGUAGUAGUAUGGUGGAGGUGAGUAGACAGGUGGGGGAGGAGACUUGUAAUAAUAUGGUGGUGGAGGUGAGUAGACCGGUGGUGGUGGGGAUUUAUAGUAGUAUGGUGGUGGUGAAUAAACCGGUGGUGGAGGAGACUUGUAGUAGUACGGUGGGGGAUGUGAAUAGACUGGUGGAGGUGGAGACUUAUAAUAGUAUGGGGGAGGAGAGUAAGUUGGUGGCGGUGGAGACUUAUAGUAAUAUGGUGAUGGAGAUGGUGGUGGCGGAGACUUAUAGUAAUAAGGCGACGGUGGGUAUUUUACAGGAGGUGGGGGAGAUUUAUAAUAAUAAGGUGGUGGGUAUUUCACAGGAGGUGGUGGAGACUUGUAAUAAUAUGGUGGAGGUGGAGGAGACUUAUAAAUGUAAGUUGGUGGUGGUGGAGGCGGUGACUUGUAGUAAUAAGGAGCGGGGGUAGGCUCAGGCUUGGGCUUCUCACAUUCCUCAUAAGGAGUCUUAGGAGCAUAAGCAAAUGGCUUGGCGUAGAGCACAACUUCAUAAUCAGUCUUCGACUUGACUUUAAGUUUGGCUCCCUUUUUACCCCAGUGCAAGUCAGUGGGAAU